UGGGGAAUUUUGGACAAUGGGCGAAAGCCUGAUCCAGCCAUGCCGCGUGAGUGAAGAAGGCCUUCGGGUUGUAAAGCUCUUUUAGUCGGAAAGAAAGAGUUGCAAUGAAUAAUUGUGAUUUAUGACGGUACCGACAGAAAAAGCACCGGCUAACUACGUGCCAGCAGCCGCGGUUAUACGUAGGGUGCGAGCGUUAAUCGGAAUUACUGGGCGUAAAGCGUGCGCAGGCGGUUUUGUAAGACAGAUGUGAAAUCCCCGGGCUUAACCUGGGAACUGCGUUUGUGACUGCAAAGCUGGAGUACGGCAGAGGGGGGUGGAAUUCCACGUGUAGCAGUGAAAUGCGUAGAGAUGUGGAGGAACACCGAUGGCGAAGGCAGCCCCCUGGGCCUGUACUGACGCUCAUGCACGAAAGCGUGGGGAGCAAACA
rnacentral:rRNA from 1 species